AUUUCUCUAACGAAAUAUCUUUUUUGUUAAAAAAAUUAAAGGCCCAAUAGUGUUAAAGUAGCAAAUGAUUUUGAUCUGAGCCACCGUUGGCGACCGACGCUUCCCUCUUGCUCUUUCUCCAUUUGAAGCUGCACGGGUUCAGGGAUCAAUGUCCAAGAGAAGAGGCUCGCUUGUGUUAAUCAAUUCCCUUACGGUUCUAUCCAAGGUACGCUCUUCGAGUAAAUUGUCUGAUUCGAUCAAAACCAUAGCGCUAUCAAAAAAUCUUAGCACCGCAGUUGAUAGAUCAGAGUUUCAGAACUCUGUUGGAUAUCACUUGGAUAAUUCUGAUGAGCAUUUCCAAAACCCUAAUGGUGCUUUCGAUGAGAGCCAAAAACCUAUUGAAUUAGUGCAAAAACCAAAUGGACACGGCUUAAACACUAAUUGGGGUUUUAGGGAAAGCACAGGAAAUGUUACAGGAAAUAUCCAAGUUGCCCAAAAUGGGAAUCCUGGAGGAUCCUAUGGGCAAAAUCAUGGAAAUUUUUUGCACAAUUUGAAUGGUGAUUACCAGAAUUUUAAUGGGAGUUGUUGGGAAAGCACGCGUGUUGAUCAAAAUAAUCCAAAUCAGUGGAAGGGUGAUUUUAGCGGAUACCAUGUGAAUACUGGGCAGUUUCAACACACAAAUAGGGAGGUUUCUGCGUUGAAUUCAAAGAGUUCGCAGGAUCAUCUAAAAGGGGUUUAUGGAGGGAGUGGAAAACCGAAUGUGCAUGGGUAUUAUCACGAAGCACCUAGAGAGGUGAGACAAACCCCAACUGGGCUUCAUUUGCAAGGUCCUUCAGGGUCACAAGGAAGCUGGAAUAGAAAUUAUACUCAAAAUGUUAAUCAGUCUCAGAGUGGCUCAAGUGGUUAUUACAUGGGGAAUGUUGGGAUGUAUCAGCAUGGGGCAAGUGCUGGCCAAUAUCAGCAGAACCUUAAUGUUGGACAAUAUCAACCAAACUUGAAUGGUGUAAAUAAUUUAAUGCAGGCUUCUCAAUUAUCGAGCGCUCCCAAAGUUGAAGGGGAAUCGGCUGAGCCUUCUGAAACUAGUCCAUAUAGAGGUACCCUGGAGGAUCUUGAUGACUUCUGCAAGGAAAGGAAAAUGAAGGAAGCUGUUGAGGUUUUGUGUUCGUUAGAGGAGCAGCGUGUUCCUUUGGAUUUGCCACGUUUUUUGCAGUUGAUGCAGGCAUGUGGAGAAACUAAGGCUUUAGAAGAAGCAAAAGCUGUUCAUGAUCUCAUUAUGAGAUCACUACUCCCUUUGGAAGUCGAUACAUAUAACAAGAUCUUAGAGAUGUUUGCAAAAUGUGGUUCUAUGGACAAGGCGUUUGAUGUGUUUGACAAAAUGCCAGAGCGCAAUUUAAAUUCAUGGGAUACCAUGAUAACAUGGCUUGCUAAGCAUGGACUUGGGGAGGAUGCUAUUGAUCUUUUUAGUCAGUUUAAACAAGCAGGAUUAGAACCUGAUGCACAAAUGUAUAUUGGGGUAUUUUCUGCUUGUGGUGAUGUUGGUGAUGUUAAUGAAGGAAUGCUGCACUUUGAAUCCAUGAUGAAGGAUUAUGGCAUUGUCCCGUCAAUGGAGCAUUAUGUAAGCAUUGUGGACAUGCUGGGAAGUACUGGGUAUUUGGAUGAAGCAUUAGAGUUCAUUGAAAAAAUGCCAAUGAAACCAAGCAUAGAUGUUUGGCUAACCUUAAUGAAUCUCAGCCGAGUUCAUGGGAACUUGGAACUUGGGGAUCGUUGUGCUGAGCUUAUUGAGCUUUUAGACCCUUUCCAACUGAAUGAACAAUCAAAGGCAGGCCUUGUAGCAGUAAAAGCUUCACACCUUGAAAAAGAGAAAGAGAAGAAGUUGACAAGUCAAAAUCUUUUAGAAGUUAGGAGUAGGGUCCAUGAGUAUCGAGCUGGAGACACAUCACAUCCUGAAAAUGAUAGAAUCUAUGCCAUGCUUAGGGGUUUGAGAGCACAGAUGAAAGAGGCUGGUUACAUCCCAGAGACAAGAUUUGUGUUGCAUGACAUAGAACAGGAAGGCAAGGAGGAGGCUCUUCUUGCUCAUAGUGAGAGACUUGCAACAGCUUAUGGUCUUCUAACCAGUCCUGCACGCUCACCUAUUCGAGUAAUAAAGAAUCUUCGUGUUUGUGGUGAUUGCCAUAAUGCAGUGAAGAUCAUUUCAAGGAUUGUUGGAAGAGAACUUAUCAUGCGAGAUGCCAAGAGGUUCCACCAUUUCAAAGACGGGGUGUGCUCUUGCCGUGAUUAUUGGUGAACUGGAUGGAACUAAAGGUGCCUUUGUUCUCAUUAUCCUUUUUCUUUUCUUUUCAAAAUGGAGAAAUGUCAAAGGCUGAUACAAUGAAGUUGACCAAGUUAUAACUCGAGAAAAAUUUUCUUCCAGAGAAAUGUGAUGUGGACGAUACACUUCAUGUAGGUCUUGAUAUUAAGGUUGUGAAUGAGGACUCAUAGCUGUCUCACAAGCGACUUGAGGGAAAUGAACACGCUUGACCACUUUGAUCACAACUUACAUUGCAAGUAGGAAUGAUAUUUAACUGUUGAUGAUAGGUAGUCACUUACGGAUUAAUUUUUGGAAUAGUUUGAGAUGGUUGAUUGCCAUCUUUCCAUGUAUUCUAUGGACAAAACAUUUUUGGCCGUCAGAGUUUCAAUCAUACGGAAUCUGAUAUCCAGUAAGUUUUCA